rnacentral:lncRNA from 1 species
UAUUUCUAACUUGCAGGUUUGCUAGAAAAGCAUAAAGUGAGGCCACAAGUGGGUGUAAAGCGUAAAAAGGCCGCUCGAUCUCCCAAAGGCAUGAUCCUCUUCGCUGGAGAUCCUAGCUUAUUUGAACCCAGAUCCAGGAACAAUUUGAGCAUGGAGAGGUGUUUGUAUUGUAUUGGAUGAUGGAGGAGAGGUACUCUACUAGCAGGAACAAUGUCCCCUUUUGUACACUCUCUUCAUAAAUCAAUGACUUAACGAAGAAAUCAUCACUAGCGUGAAUAUUCAUUCUUGCUUCGGGUCAGGACGUCCAGUAAUGCUAGGUCUUUAAAUGGUGUCCCAUAGCGCUCUCAAAAGUUAAUUCUCAUGUAUUGGGUUGUUGUAUAGUGAUAGGUUGUUAAUUGUCUGUUA